rnacentral:rRNA from 1 species
CCUACGGGGGGCAGCAGUGAGGAAUAUUGGUCAAUGGACGAGAGUCUGAACCAGCCAAGUAGCGUGAAGGAUGACUGCCCUAUGGGUUGUAAACUUCUUUUAUAAAGGAAUAAAACGAGGCACGUGUGCCUUUUUGCAUGUAUUUUAUGAAUAAGGAUCGGCUAACUCCGUGCCAGCAGCCGCGGUAAUACGGAGGAUCCGAGCGUUAUCCGGAUUUAUUGGGUUUAAAGGGAGCGUAGAUGGGUUGUUAAGUCAGUUGUGAAAGUUUGCGGCUCAACCGUAAAAUUGCAAGUGAUACUGGCAGUCUUGAGUACAGUUGAGGUAGGCGGAAUGCGUGGUGUAGCGGUGAAAUGCUUAGAGAUCACGAAGAACCCCGAUUGCGAAGGCAGCUUACUAAACUGUGACUGACAUUGAUGCUCGAAAGUGUGGGUAGCAAACAGGAUUAGAUACCCCAGUAGUC